rnacentral:lncRNA from 1 species
AUGAAGGCCCAGGAGUUCAAAUCCAGCCUGGGCAACACAAUGAGACCCUGUCUUAAAAAAAAAAAAAAAUCAGCAAGCUGGGAAAUAAACUUGGGGCACACUGGGCACUUCGUCAUGAGGAAACCAAAAUCUCCUGCCUUGGCAAGCUUCAGGAGCCAUAUAAGGACUGAGCCAGCCUCACCCAUUACACUGUGUAGGGACACUCUUCAGCAACGACAUCAUGUGGCAGAAGAAAACAUGGCCAUAGGGGAUUCCUUCAUUGUGCAAUUACCUAUAAGAAGAAGAAAAGGAAGAAAAGAGGAAGAAGAACGAGGAGGAGGAGGAGGUCUAAAAAGGAAAUGCUUAAAUUCUUGCUGAAAGGAGUGGGAAGAAGAGGGAGCUUGGAGAAGCUUUGAGCAGGUCCUGAAUAGGCAAGUGAGGGGCUUGCCUUAACCCUACAGGAUUCUCAGUCUCCACGUCUACCUCCCACAACAUGUGCAAAUGCUUACAUUCAUGCCUCACGAACUCCUGUGGCUUCCCUCCCUUCGAGCUGUAUCCACCAUGACCUCUUGACCAGGGCUGAGGGAGAAGGAGGAGGGUCGUGCCACUAUCCUAGCACCCUCUGUCAAGAGCCACAGUCAUCAGAACCAUGGAGUGACUGACUGGAAACUCAGACAACAAGGGAGGCCAGUGAGUAAUGAGAACUGAUUUCUUUGGCUUCAGUGCCUGCUCCUCGCACCUCCACACACCGCCCACAGAGAGAGGACAUGGAAAGGUGAUUUAUGCUGAAUCUGCAAGAUCUUAUCCAUCAGCAAAUCUUGUUGGCUGUACCUUCCAUGUGUAUCCAGAAUUGAACUUUAUAUGACCUUCACUGCCACCACCAAGGUCCAAACAACCAUCACCUCCUGCCUGGAUAGAGUAAGUGACUCCCAACUGUUUUUAUGCCCCAGCUCUUGCUCUACUACUACCUAUUCUCAACACAGCAGCCAGAAAGACCUUGGAAAAAAACUAAAUAAAAUCAUGUCACUCCUCUGCCUUUCCAAUAGCUUGCCACUGCAUACAGAAAAAAAUUCAAAAUCUUUGCUAUGAUUUACAAAGCCCUACACAAUUUAGCACCCCAUUAUGUCUCUGAACCCAUUAUCAACACUACUCUCCCUCUCAUUCUCUCUCUCUCUCUUCCAGCAACAGUGACCUUCUAGCUGUUCCUCAAGGGGGCAGGUACCCCCUUCACCUGAGGGAUCUGCACUUACUGUUCUUGUCACCUAGACCUUCCCAGAUCCGCAUACAGGUCAAUCCCUUACCUUUUUCAGAUCCUGCUUAAAUGCCACUCUCGCACCGAGGACUUCCCUGGCCACUUCCUGUUCACUUCAGCAGCUUUAUUUUUCUCCUUAGCACUAAUCAGUAUCUAAAAUACUAUGUAUUUUACCUGGUUAUUUUGUUUAUUGUCUCCCUCCUCCACUAGAAUGUAAGUUCAAUGAUGGCUAUGAUUUUUGUCUGUUUGUUCUCUGCUAUAUCCCCAGCACUUAAAACAAUGCCUGGAACAUAGCUGGAAUACAACUGUCACACAGCAGAUGCUCAAUGAAAGUAUUGCUUUCUUUAUCUUCCUAUUGAGUCACUACUGACAAGGUUGAAAGUGUAUCAACAAAAACGUAAUGCUUCUAACAGAAAAAAAGUCAAGCCUUUUGCCUUACUAAAAGCAGGUUAACAGUAUCAUCUCCUCAUAUGAUAGCCACAAUUCUCUAAAAUCUUAACCCAUCAUUCAUUUAUUACAUGUGUCUACAAUAAUUAGUCCUAGAUGAGAUGCUUUUUUCCCCAAAACAU